GUCUGUGGGCGUGGUGGUUUGAGUGUUAGACUGAGACUCUGGAGAUCAGGGUUCAAUUCCCUGCUUGGCCA
rnacentral:tRNA from 1 species